rnacentral:rRNA from 1 species
GAUGAACGUUGGCGGCGUGCCUAAUACAUGCAAGUCGAACGAAGACUGUAGUAAUACUGUCUUAGUGGCGAACGGGUGAGUAACGCGUGGGUGACCUGCCCCGAAGUGUGGGAUAACAGUCCGAAAGGAUUGCUAAUACUGCAUAAUAUCCAAGAGAUUAGAUGCUUUUUGGGAUUAAAGGAGUAAUUCGCUUCGGGAGGGGCCCGCGUCCCAUCAGCUAGUUGGUAAGGUAAUGGCUUACCAAGGCGAUGACGGGUAGGGGACCUGAGAGGGUGGCCCCCCAAAUGGAACUGAAACACGGUCCAUACACCUACGGGUGCAGCAGUAGGGAAUAUUAGUAAUGGGCGAAAGCCUGAACUAGCAACGCCGCGUGUGCGAAGAAGGCCUUCGGGUCGUAAAGCACUUUUUGAGAGGAUGAGGAAGGAUGGUACUCUCAGAAUAAGUCUCGGCUAACUACGUGCCAGCAGCCGCGGUAAAAUCAACGUGUA